rnacentral:lncRNA from 1 species
GAAGAGUACAAUAGCAUAUUAAGUAUGGGAAAACCCUUACUAAUUCAUUUGUUUGAACAAAUAAGUAUAUGCAAAAAAUUUAAUGAAAAACUUCACAAGUAUAUACAAAAAAAAAGAAAAAAAACGUAGUAAUUAAAAAAGAAAAAAUAUAUACAAAUGUAUAUAUAUAUAUAUAUAUAUAUAUAUAUAUGCAUUGGGGGGUAUAAGUAGGAAAUAUAUAUUUUUUUAAAAGUGUAUGUGUACACACAAAUAAUAAGGAUAUGCCCCAAUUAUAUUACCAGGAGUCUUAAUUUUGUAUUUUUGUUCUAUUUGUGAUAUAUUUGUAAUAUACCUAUUUAAUUCAUUCUCUUUUUUUUUUUUUGUUUAUUAUUAUACGCUUCUUAUAAAAAUCAACUUUUUAUUAUUUAUUAAAAAUACGGUGAAGUUUGUUUUUUUUUUUUUUUAUUCAACUAAAUAAAACGAAACAAUAAAAAAUGGUAAGGUGUAGGUAAGGUUGGUAAACGUUUUUUGAACAAAUAGUCAAAGUAAGAUAAAAAAAAAAAAUAAAAAAAACAGCUUUCCUUUUUUAUCGGUUAUAUUUUAAAAAUAACAAUGUUUAUUAUAUAUAAUGUAGGAAAAAAAAAAAAAAAAAAAAAAAAAAAGAGCUUUACAAAAAUCACUAAAAAUAAUAUUUAAACAAAUAUAUUUUGCUAAAAAACAAGAAUAUAAAAAUGGGUAUAUAUAUAUAUAUAUAUAAACAUGCAUGUAUAGAUAUGUGCAUAAACAUACACGUAUGGUAUCAUGUGCACCUUUUGUCCGUAUGUAUUUGCUUGUUUUGUCACAUUUUUUUUUUUUUUUUUUUUUUUUUUUUUUUUUUUUUUUUUUUCUGUAGUUUUACUACCAUCAUUGUUAGCUUUACUACUAUUACGAGUUGUUCUAGUAGUAUUGUGAUUGGCUUGUUCGGUGUCUAACUUUUUCAAGCCCAAUUUAGCUCUUAAUUUAUUAGUUUCUUCUAUACUUAAUUCACAUUCGUCAUUCAUUUGUGUAUGUGAAAAAUUACUUCUUUUUUUUUUUUUUUUUUUAUUUUUUUUUAAUUUUUUUUUAAUUAAGUUUUUUUUAUUAUUAUUAUUAUUAUUAUUAUUAUUAUUAUUAUUAUUAUUAUUAUUAUUAUUAUUAUUAUUAUUAUUAUUAUUAUUAUUAGUAUUUAUAACAGUUUAUAAAAAAUUACGUAAAUUUUUUUAAUUUUAAAUACAACAAUAAAAAAAAAAAAAAAAAAAAAAAAAAAAAGUUC